UUCGGUCAUGUGACCGCCUGGGGAGUCAGGGGCGGAAGUCGGGGUCUGACCCGCUCCAGGUCCGGGACUGCGGAUAGAAGAGAACCGCCGCCGUGAGGGAGGGGUGGAAACUGGGUGCCGGCCCUGCGCGUGCGCCGCUGGCGCGGCCCGGCUGACAGGUUCUUUAAUGGAGGAGCCAAUCUCUCUGCACACCUGGUUUCAUCUAAUAAUAUACAGACACCAGCUCUGAGGCCAGUUAAUCAUCCCCAGUGUCCAGGCACAGAGUAGUCGGUCCGCCUCACAAUGUUGGACUUUCUAGCCGAGAACAACCUCUGUGGCCAAGCAAUCCUAAGGAUUGUUUCCUGUGGGUCCGGAAUUAUGGGAAAGCAAACUGGAUGCUAAGCCAGAGCUACAGGAUUUAGAUGAAGAAUUUCGUGAAAACAACAUAGAAAUUGUGACCAGAUUUUAUUUAGCAUUUCAAAGUGUACAUAAAUAUAUUGUAGACUUAAACAGAUAUCUAGAUGAUCUCAAUGAAGGGGUUUAUAUUC
rnacentral:sRNA from 1 species